GAACGCGGUGUGUCCACCCAUAUCUUGCGCUGAGGCGCGCGACACAGCCGGUGUCAAAUGUUGUUACAAUUUGGUGCAACGCGUCUUGUUGCGGUUAUUGAUGUCUUAUUAUGAAUGUCAACAUUUUAACACCAUGUUUGUUAGCUAUACGCUUUCGUUUUGCAAACUACGUAUAUGUAGUUCGCAAAUAGGCCUCUGCAAUAGUAUUAGUCAGCAUUUCUUGAAGAAGUAGAAAAUCACCACCUGUAGGGCAAACAUAUUAUAGGCUAGCUACUGAUGUCUUUGAAGGUGACUAUUUUGGUGGAGGCCACGAAAAUGAAGGGAGUGCAUCGGAUAUAGAUAGAAAGAGAGAGGACCUGAAGAGAAAGAUGAUGGUUGAUGGACUCCAUGCUGUAUGUUAUGGAUUAAACUGUAUCUGUUGAUAGUGAUUGACGCCAGACUGGAGUUCCAAGGACCAAGGAUACCGAUUGUUGUUGUAUUCUGUGAAACACUGUGUGUUUCUGUAGCAGCUGUUUUGACUUCCUACAAGCCUCCCAGGCUGUUGUUUGCAGAACAUUUGGUGCUGUGUAAUUAGGAUAUAAGGGCUUUCUCUGCUAAGGUCAAGUUAGACAUGUUCUCUGCUUCUGUGCUGGGGGUGUCUCCCUGUUGCAACUUGUAAUUAAACCGAGAUGAUUCUGA